CUGCCUACCGGGAGCUGACGGACGACGACUGCCAACACCUUAGUCCCAGCUGGCCCAGGAAACUGCUGCGGUGGAGGUGGCGGCGGCAGGAGGGCUCGGCUGCCCCGAGCGCCCGCCAGGCUCCUGCCCUAAGAAGAUGGCCUACUAUGGAAAAUGCAUUGAAACGGUGAUCGAGCAACUCAACAAAUUUACACCCAAGAGGGACAACCCUGAGCAGUUCCUGGAGGCUGCGGCCACCUCCCUGCAGCUGACAGUGUUUUUCCACAGAGGCCUGCUCUUCAUAUAGGGAGGUGCUCCUGGCACCCAGAAUGUGUGUCAGGCCAGGCUCUGGUGAAAGAAGUCUUGGCCAGAACCCGGGAUAUGACAUCCACACUGCAGUUCCAUCCUCAGUUAACACAGACAAGAAGGGUCAGCCCUGGAGCGCCCCCAUGCCCCACCCCCACUUUGGGGGGCAUCUUAUCUCGGGAAAUGGGUCCUCCAUCCCCCAGGCACCCCAGGGCUGUGGCAGUGAGGGUGCGCAAGGCCACAACUUGUGCUGUAUUUGUGGUAACUGAGACUUGGGAAUCACUGACCGGGUCUCCGACAGAGGCAGGGGCUGGCCUGGGCAGUGAGGCGCCCGGGAUGCCGAGGGCUGCAAUUGUCAGUACACACCUCCUUCAUCUUCCUACCCACACCUGGAAGAAGUCACAGGCCCACCUGGAGGCUGCCCAACUCCUCAGCUCCUGUCCUCCCUUCCCUGGGUUUUCCUUACAGCUCCAUCCUGGUCCUGGCACCCCCUGCAACCUCGGCAGCCCCGCCCCACUCAGGGGCCUCCCUGUCACCCGGUCUCAGCUCCCACCCCCAGGUGCUGAUCUCAUAUCCACCACCUGUCAGUGGCAGGUGCCUGGGGAACAGGAGCUUGGAUUGCAGGGCCCCUGCCUCCAGGAAUGUGGGACUUGGGCUCCAAUGGAUGGGGGCCUCCAGAGGAAGCUGGGCCCACCAGGGGAAAUCCUGGGGGGCUGUCACAUGGGCCAUCACCAGCCCAUCAUUGCCCAGGAGCAGGAAGAGGGCACUCGCCCCCUGGAAAGAGGGCGCUCAUAGCAAGUGUGCUAAUUCAGUCCACCUGCCUGUCCUUGCAGGCCACAGCCCUCUGUGCCGCUGUACUCUGGAUGAACUUGGUCUAUGUGUGCUGCUUUUCUGCGUGGCCCCUGGGGGCUGCCCUGGCCAUGCUCCAGCCCCCGCUCUCACUACCUGCUCAGGUGCACCUGUGCUGUUCCCCCAGGCCACAGUCUGAGCCCACCUUCCCUUGGGGUAGAGUGACAGGUUCAUCCUUCAUUAGCUACCCCUGGGGCAGCCUCAAGAAAGCCCAGAGGGGAGGUGGUGUGAGUGGGUUACAAAGGCUGCAGGGGUUGGGGCCAAGGCCUCUGCCAUAAGAGAAGGCCUGGGGCCCCGACCCAUCCCUGCUCCCAGCUUCUGGAAGAGGCACCUCCUCCGGCUGGGGCCUGGCAGCCAGCAGGGACUGGAGAGGGGUGCAGGGCCUGUGUGCAGAGCUACAGGCCUCCAUGGGCACCUCUCCCUCCGCUUCAGCACCCUCCGGCCCCCAGCUCUUUCCCUGAGCCCCUAAGCACUGUGGGGAAGUAAUGCAAACAGCUCGGGUCCAGGUUCAUCCACACUCCUCUUCCCAGCUAAGGCCUCGGCACGACGGGCACACCUCUCAUCCCGCCGGCCUGCCCUCGCUACGCCCGUCCAAAACAGACAAUAGCGAAGGCCCAGGUCCCCUUGGCCAGAAGCUCGUCCUGGGAGCUGGCAUCACCCACCCCGCUGCCUGGGCCGGCCUGUAGCCCAGCCCCUCUGGCUGGCCCGAGAGCAGCUCCAGCAGCUCUCCCUGUCCCUCCCCUCAUUUCCCUUAGGAUCUUUCCCGUCAGCCACCGUGUGCUGCUACGUCUCCCACCUUAAAAACAUUUUUUUAAAGUCCUCUGUACUCCCUGCGGCUCCCGCGGUCCUCGUCUUCCAUCUAACAGAUUCCUCAAAGUCCCUGCCAUCAGCGGCAGCUCUUCCUCCAUCCUCCCUCACGCCCCUCCCGGCGGACUUCCCCCACCCCUCCACCCACAGCGCCAGUCUGGGUCACCCCUCACCUCCCUGUUGCCAAAUCCAGUGGGGCAGCCUCGGCUCCUCUGACCCAGCUGACCCCGCCCCCAGCUCCGGGGCCUUCCGAUCAGCUUCCUGGGUACCGCCUGCGCCAGGCCUGCCUCUCACCCGGCAGCCACUCCUUCUCGGGCUCAGGCCUCCCAUGUCGGGUGUGCGGGGUGCACGGGCUCAGCGGCUGCUCUCUGCUCUCCUUGCUAUACACACUCCUGGUCCCCUCGCCUGCUGACAGCUCCUGCUCCUCCCUCCAUCCUUGACCUCUCCCGAGCCUGGACUCACAUCUCCUUGGGUGUCCAAUGGGCACCUCCCGUGUGACACAUCAGUAGGUGAAUGAAUCCAUGUGACCUCCCCCAGAGCUGCUGAUCCUGGCAUCCCCAGUUCAGCCGGCGGCCGCUCCGUCUCCCCUUGCUCCAGUGGGAACCCUGGCGCCUCCUGGGCACCCGCAUUCCUCUAGCCCACAUCUGUCCAUCAUCAGCUCUGCCUUCAACUCUGCCACGCGUGCACUCUGCUCCAGGGGCACUGGUCUCCUAGUGUUUCUGGAACAUUCCACGUGCUCCCCGCUGCACUAGCUGUUGCCUCCACCUUGGAAACUUUCCCCCUGACGCUGUCUUGGCCUGCGCAGCCACACAGCACCUUGGCAGGGAAAGGGGGUGUGUUUACCCCUU
rnacentral:sRNA from 1 species